UACAGAGGGGGCAAGCGUUGUUCGGAUUUACUGGGCGUAAAGGGCGCGUAGGCGGCCACCGCAAGUCGGUUGUGAAAUCUCUGGGCUUAACCCAGAAAGGUCAACCGAUACUGCGGGGCUAGAGUGCAGAAGGGGCAACUGGAAUUCCCGGUGUAGCGGUGAAAUGCGUAGAUAUCGAGAGGAACACCUGCGGCGAAGGCGGGUUGCUGGGCUGACACUGACGCUGAAGCGCGAAAGCUAGGGGAGCGAACGGG
rnacentral:rRNA from 1 species